AGCGAACGCUGGCGGCAGGCUUAACACAUGCAAGUCGAGCGGGCGUAGCAAUACGUCAGCGGCAGACGGGUGAGUAACGCGUGGGAACAUACCUUUUGGUUCGGAACAACACAGGGAAACUUGUGCUAAUACCGGAUAAGCCCUUACGGGGAAAGAUUUAUCGCCGAAAGAUUGGCCCGCGUCUGAUUAGCUAGUUGGUGAGGUAACGGCUCACCAAGGCGACGAUCAGUAGCNGGUCUGAGAGGAUGAUCAGCCACAUUGGGACUGAGACACGGCCCAAACUCCUACGGGAGGCAGCAGUGGGGAAUAUUGGACAAUGGGCGCAAGCCUGACGACGCAACGCCGCGUGGAGGAUGAAGACCU
rnacentral:rRNA from 1 species